AGUGAACGCUGGCGGUAGGCCUAACACAUGCAAGUCGAACGGCAGCACAGUAAGAGCUUGCUCUUACGGGUGGCGAGUGGCGGACGGGUGAGGAAUACAUCGGAAUCUACUUUUUCGUGGGGGGUAACGUAGGGAAACUUACGCUAAUACCGCAUACGACCUACGGGUGAAAGCAGGGGAUCUUCGGACCUUGCGCGAUUGAAUGAGCCGAUGUCGGAUUAGCUAGUUGGCGGGGUAAAGGCCCACCAAGGCGACGAUCCGUAGCUGGUCUGAGAGGAUGAUCAGCCACACUGGAACUGAGACACGGUCCAGACUCCUACGGGAGGCAGCAGUGGGGAAUAUUGGACAAUGGGCGCAAGCCUGAUCCAGCCAUACCGCGUGGGUGAAGAAGGCCUUCGGGUUGUAAAGCCCUUUUGUUGGGAAGGAAAAGCAGCAGGUUAAUACCCCGCUGUUCUGACGGUACCCAAAGAAUAAGCACCGGCUAACUUCGUG
rnacentral:rRNA from 1 species